rnacentral:rRNA from 1 species
GAUGAACGCUGGCGGCGUGCCUAAUACAUGCAAGUCGAGCGAACGGACGAGAAGCUUGCUUCUCUGAUGUUAGCGGCGGACGGGUGAGUAACACGUGGAUAACCUACCUAUAAGACUGGGAUAACUUCGGGAAACCGUAGCUAAUACCGGAUAAUAUUUUGAACCGCAUGGUUCAAAAGUGAAAGACGGUCUUGCUGUCACUUAUAGAUGGAUCCGCGCUGCAUUAGCUAGUUGGUAGGGUAACGGCUUACCAAGGCAACGAUGCAUAGCCGACCUGAGAGGGUGAUCGGCCACCCUGGAACUGAGACACGGUCCCGACUCCUACGGGAGGCAGCAGUAGGGAAUCUUCCGCAAUGGGCGAAAGCCUGACGGAGCAACGCCGCGUGAGUGAUGAAGGUCUUCGGAUCGUAAAACUCUGUUAUUAGGGAAGAACAUAUGUGUAAGUAACUGUGCACAUCUUGACGGUACCUAAUCAGAAAGCCACGGCUAACUACGUG